rnacentral:rRNA from 1 species
UACAGCGGUCUCAAGCGUUGUUCGGAUUCAUUGGGCGUAAAGGGUGUGUAGGUGGCGCGGUAAGUCGGGUGUGAAAUCUUGGAGCUUAACUCCGAAACUGCAUUCGAUACUGCCGUGCUUGAGGACUGGAGAGGAGACUGGAAUUCAUGGUGUAGCAGUGAAAUGCGUAGAGAUCAUGAGGAAGACCAGUGGCGAAGGCGGGUCUCUGGACAGUUCCUGACACUGAGACACGAAGGCCAGGGGAGCAAACGGG